rnacentral:rRNA from 1 species
CUACGGGGGGCUGCAGUGGGGAAUAUUGGACAAUGGGGGAAACCCUGAUCCAGCAAUGCCGCGUGUGUGAAGAAGGCCUGCGGGUUGUAAAGCACUUUCAAUAGGGAGGAAAAGCUUUGGGUUAAUACCCCGAAGUCUUGACGUUACCUUUAGAAGAAGCACCGGCUAACUCUGUGCCAGCAGCCGCGGUAAUACAGAGGGUGCGAGCGUUAAUCGGAAUUACUGGGCGUAAAGCGCGCGUAGGCGGUUUGAUAAGUCAGAUGUGAAAGCCCCGGGCUUAACCUGGGAACUGCAUUUGAUACUGUCAAACUAGAGUAUGGUAGAGGGUAGUAGAAUUCCUGGUGUAGCGGUGAAAUGCGUAGAUAUCAGGAGGAAUACCAGUGGCGAAGGCGGCUACCUGGACCAAUACUGACGCUGAGGUGCGAAAGCGUGGGGAGCAAACAGGAUUAGAUACCCCGGUAGUC